GGUGCUUUGUGCGGUCGUGGACAGGAAAGGGAAAUCCUCGUGUCGCGGAGCAGUGAGGGAAGAGUAAAAUUCCAGUUUGCCUUUUGUUGAGGGAAUCUGGAAACAGCACAGAUCCCACGGCCUGCUGCAGCUGAGCAAACCAAGAUACCAGGGUAACGGUGAGAAGCUCCUAUGACAGUGUUCCCACAUCGCCCAACUGAGGAGUGCAGAAAAAUAUUGCUGCCAGCAGCUGAUACCAAAAACAAGGUCUACGUGACUACUAAUCACAAGGGGACUGUUUUCUUGCAGGUGGGGUUGUUUUCUUCUGGUUGUUUUUCUGAGUGCUUUGGCCAAUAACCUUGCGUGAAACACUGUCCACCCCUGUUGAGUUCUCUAUAAAAGUUAGGCUAUUCGGGCAAUAAAAUGGAGCAUGAUCUGA